rnacentral:rRNA from 1 species
AGUGAACGCUGGCGGCAGGCCUAACACAUGCAAGUCGAAUGGUAACAGGAAACAGCUUGCUGUUUCGCUGACGAGUGGCGGACGGGUGAGUAAUGUCUGGGAAACUGCCUGAUGGAGGGGGAUAACUACUGGAAACGGUAGCUAAUACCGCAUAACGUCGCAAGACCAAAGAGGGGGACCUUCGGGCCUCUUGCCAUCAGAUGUGCCCAGAUGGGAUUAGCUAGUAGGUGGGGUAACGGCUCACCUAGGCGACGAUCCCUAGCUGGUCUGAGAGGAUGACCAGCCACACUGGAACUGAGACACGGUCCAGACUCCUACGGGAGGCAGCAGUGGGGAAUAUUGCACAAUGGGCGCAAGCCUGAUGCAGCCAUGCCGCGUGUAUGAAGAAGGCCUUCGGGUUGUAAAGUACUUUCAGCGGGGAGGAAGGGAGUAAAGUUAAUACCUUUGCUCAUUGACGUUACCCGCAGAAGAAGCACCGGCUAACUCCGUG